UGGGGAAUCUUCCGCAAUGGACGAAAGUCUGACGGAGCAACGCCGCGUGAGUGAAGAAGGUUUUCGGAUCGUAAAACUCUGUCUUUUGGGGCGAACGUGAGUAUGGUGAACAAUCAUAGUCAGUGACGGUACCAAAGGAGGAAGCCACGGCUAACUACGUGCCAGCAGCCGCGGUAAUACGUAGGUGGCAAGCGUUGUCCGGAAUUAUUGGGCGUAAAGAGCGCGUAGGCGGGAUAGUCAGUCUGUUGUAAAGUGCGGGCUCAACCCCGUGAUCGCAAUGGAAACAGCUAUUCUUGAGUGCAGGAGAGGAAAGUGGAAUUCCCAGUGUAGCGGUGAAAUGCGUAGAUAUUGGGAGGAACACCAGUGGCGAAGGCGACUUUCUGGACUGUGUCUGACGCUGAGGCGCGAAAGCCAGGGGAGCGAACGGGAUUAGAUACCCCGGUAGUCCUGGCCGUAAACGAUGGGUACUAGGUGUGGGAGGUAUCGACCCCCUUUCCGUGCCGGAGUUAACGCAAUAAGUACCCCGCCUGGGGAGUACGGUCGCAAGACUGAAACUCAAAGGAAUUGACGGGGUCAUAGCUGUUUCCUG
rnacentral:rRNA from 1 species